rnacentral:rRNA from 1 species
CAGUCCGCGGUAAUACGUAGGGUGCAAGCGUUAAUCGGAAUUACUGGGCGUAAAGCGUGCGCAGGCGGUUUUGUAAGACAGAGGUGAAAUCCCCGGGCUCAACCUGGGAACUGCCUUUGUGACUGCAAGGCUAGAGUACGGCAGAGGGGGAUGGAAUUCCGCGUGUAGCAGUGAAAUGCGUAGAUAUGCGGAGGAACACCGAUGGCGAAGGCAAUCCCCUGGGCCUGUACUGACGCUCAUGCACGAAAGCGUGGGGAGCAAACAGGAUUAGAUACCCGAGUAGUCCCUGUCUCUUAUACAC